rnacentral:rRNA from 1 species
GACGAACCGUGCGAACGUUAUUCGGAUUCACUGGGCUUAAAGGGCGCGUAGGCGGGCUCGCCAGUCCGGGGUGAAAUCUUUCGGCUUAACCGGAAAAGUGCCUCGGAUACUGCGGGCCUUGAGGGAGGUAGGGGCAUGUGGAACUUCCGGUGGAGCGGUGAAAUGCGUUGAUAUCCACAGGAACUCCGGUGGCGAAGGCGGCACGCUGGACCCCCACUGACGCUGAGGCGCGAAAGCCAGGGGAGCGAACGGG